rnacentral:rRNA from 1 species
GACGAACGCUGGCGGCGUGCUUAACACAUGCAAGUCGAACGGAAAGGCCCUGCUUUUGUGGGGUGCUCGAGUGGCGAACGGGUGAGUAACACGUGAGUAACCUGCCCUUGACUUUGGGAUAACUUCAGGAAACUGGGGCUAAUACCGGAUAGGAGCUCCUGCUGCAUGGUGGGGGUUGGAAAGUUUCGGCGGUUGGGGAUGGACUCGCGGCUUAUCAGCUUGUUGGUGGGGUAGUGGCUUACCAAGGCUUUGACGGGUAGCCGGCCUGAGAGGGUGACCGGCCAAAUGGGGACUGAGAUACGGCCCAGACUCCUAGGGGGGGCAGAGGGGGGGAAUAUUGAAAAAGGGGCGGAAGCCUGAUGCAGCAACGCCGCGGGGGGGAUGAGGGCCUUCGGGUUGUAAACCGUUUUCGCCUGGGACGAAGCGGGGGGGACGGUAAUGGGUAAAGAAGCACCGGCUAACUACGU